rnacentral:miRNA from 1 species
UGUCAGGACGACAAAAGCUCUGA